CCUACGGGAGGCAGCAGUGAGAAAUAUUGGUCAAUGGACGAGAGUCUGAACCAGCCAAGUAGCGUGAAGGAUGACUGCCCUAUGGGUUGUAAACUUCUUUUAUAUGGGAAUAAAACGUUCCACGUGUGGGAUUUUGUAUGUACCAUAUGAAUAAGGAUCGGCUAACUCCGUGCCAGCAGCCGCGGUAAGACGGAGGAUCCGAGCGUUAUCCGGAUUUAUUGGGUUUAAAGGGAUCUUAGGUGGAUUGUUAAGUCAGUUGUGAAAGUUUGCGGCUCAACCGUAAAAUUGCAGUUGAAACUGGCAGUCUUGAGUACAGUAGAGGUGGGCGGAAUUCGUGGUGUAGCGGUGAAAUGCUUAGAUAUCACGAAGAACUCCGAUUGCGAAGGCAGUUCACUGGACUGCAACUGACACUGAGGCUCGAAAGUGUGGGUAUCAAACAGGAUUAGAUACCCGAGUAGUC
rnacentral:rRNA from 1 species